UUAUCUUUAUCGGCCUUUUGGCUAAGAUCAAGUGUAAUAUAUGUUCUUAUCAAUUUAAUGUCUAAUAUGUGAGUCAAUGAUUCAUACGAUAUUAACUCUAUUUUUAGGUGAAGGUCCAUCACGGUAACUUGCUAUCCGGAUCUUCAAUCAUCGUCAUGGUGUUGCACUAUAACCUUGCCCUAGUCCAUCCCAC